CCUACGGGUGGCAGCAGUGGGGAAUAUUGCACAAUGGGCGCAAGCCUGAUGCAGCCAUGCCGCGUGUGUGAAGAAGGCCUUCGGGUUGUAAAGCACUUUCAGCGGGGAGGAAGGCGUUAAGGUUAAUAACCUUGGCGAUUGACGUUACCCGCAGAAGAAGCACUGGCUAACUCCGUGCCAGCAGCCGCGGUAAUACGGAGGGUGCAAGCGUUAAUCGGAAUUACUGGGCGUAAAGCGCACGCAGGCGGUCUGUCAAGUCGGAUGUGAAAUCCCCGGGCUCAACCUGGGAACUGCAUUCGAAACUGGCAGGGUAGAGUCUUGUAGAGGGGGGUAGAAUUCCAGGUGUAGCGGUGAAAUGCGUAGAGAUCUGGAGGAAUACCGGUGGCGAAGGCGGCCCCCUGGACAAAGACUGACGCUCAGGUGCGAAAGCGUGGGGAGCAAACAGGAUUAGAUACCCUUGUAGUC
rnacentral:rRNA from 1 species